GAUGAACGCUGUCUACAGGCUUAACACAUGCAAGUCGAGGGGAAACGACGGGGAAGCUUGCUUCCCCGGGCGUCGACCGGCGCACGGGUGAGUAACGCGUAUCCAACCUGCCUCUGACUGAGGGAUAACCCGUCGAAAGUCGGCCUAAUACCUCAUGGCAUCGUCUGCGGGCAUCCAACGACGAUUAAAGAUUUCAUCGGUCAGGGAUGGGGAUGCGUCUGAUUAGCUUGUUGGCGGGGUAACGGCCCACCAAGGCUACGAUCAGUAGGGGUUCUGAGAGGAAGGCCCCCCACAUUGGAACUGAGACACGGGCCAAACGCCUACGGGAGGCAGCAGUGAGGAAUAUUGGUCAAUGGGCGGGAGCCUGAACCAGCCAAGUAGCGUGCAGGAUGACGGCCCUAUGGGUUGCAAACUGCUUUUAUGCGGGGAUAAAGUGAGGGACGGGUCCCCCAUUGCAGGUACCGCAUGAAUAAGGACCGGCUAAUUCCGUG
rnacentral:rRNA from 1 species